CCUACGGGAGGCAGCAGUAGGGAAUUUUGCGCAAUGGGCGAAAGCCUGACGCAGCAACGCCGCGUGAUCGAGACGCCCUUCGGGGUGUAAAGAUCUGUCAGUGGGGACGAAACUUGACGGUCCCCACAGAGGAAGCACCUGCUAACUCCGUUCCAGCAGCCGCGGUAAUACGGGGGGUGCAAGCGAUGACCGGAAUACUUGGGCGUAAAGGGUUCGUAGGCGGCACGUAAAGUCUGGUGUUAAAGGCAGAGGCUCAACUUCUGUACGGCAUGUGAUACUUGAUAGCUAGAAUGCGGUAGAGGUAAAGGGAAUUCCUGGUGUAGCGGUGAAAUGCUUAGAUAUCAGGAGGAACAGCGGAGGCGUAAGCGCUUUACUGGGCCUUAAUUGACGCUGAGGAACGAAAGCCAGGGUAGCAAAUGGGAUUAGAUACCCUUGUAGUC
rnacentral:rRNA from 1 species